rnacentral:rRNA from 1 species
CCGGAGGAAGUGGGAUGACGUCAAAUCAUCAUGCCCCUUAUGACCUGGGCUACACACGUGCUACAAUGGUUGGUACAACGAGUUGCGAGUCGGUGACGGCGAGCUAAUCUCUUAAAGCCAAUCUCAGUUCGGAUUGUAGGCUGCAACUCGCCUACAUGAAGUCGGAAUCGCUAGUAAUCGCGGAUCAGCACGCCGCGGUGAAUACGUUCCCGGGCCUU